rnacentral:rRNA from 1 species
CUCGUAGGUGGUUUGUCGCGUUGUUCGUGAAAACUCACAGCUUAACUGUGGGCGUGCGGGCGAUACGGGCAGACUAGAGUACUGCAGGGGAGACUGGAACUCCUGGUGUAGCGGUGGAAUGCGCAGAUAUCAGGAGGAACACCGGUGGCGAAGGCGGGUCUCUGGGCAGUAACUGACGCUGAGGAGCGAAAGCGUGGGUAGCGAACA